UCAGAUCAUACAUAAAAUUAUUUUGUUCAGUUUGUUCUGGGUUUCUAACAUGGUACCAGAGUCGGUUUGAGUCAUAUAUCCCGUUUUAGUUUUCUUGAAACCCAUCCACUUUCUUGCCCCUAUUUCACUUUUCAGUCUUUCAUCUUCUUGCUUCUCAUUGCUGCUGCUUCUUUCGAUUCAUCUUGCCCUAACCCUUCCAUCAAUAAUCUCCAUCGCAUUUUUCUUUUCUACCCACCAUGAGUGAGACCUCAAAUACUAAAUCCUUAGCUUCUGCACUCGAUUUAACCUAUCCACUCUAUCUUUACCCAUCUAACACUCAAGCCACCAAUCUUGUUCCUCAACCUCUCAUCGGAACCACAAACUAUGUGAUCUGGAGCUGUGCAAUGCAAAUGGCUCUACGAGCAAAGAAUAAAAUCAGGAUGGUAGAUAGUUCUUACAAAAGAGACGCUCAGAAGGAGACUCUUCAAGAUCAGUGGGAUCAUUGCAAUGCCCUUGUCCUCUCGUGGUUAAUCAACUUCGUUUCCAAAGAAAUUACAGCGAGCAUUACAUUCUUCGAGAGUGCUCUUCUUGUAUAGGAAGAUCUGCAUGAGAAUUUUGACUGAACUAAUGGAACGAAGACUCAAGGAGCUAUGGGAAGAAUAUGCAACAAUCAUCCUAAUACCUACCUGUAAUUGCAACUCAUCUGGGGAAUAUGCAAAAAAUGUCUAACAACAGAAGCCAUUUCAAUUUUUAAUGGGACUCAAUACUCAUAUCAGCCUGUCAAGAGUCAAAUCCUUCUUAUGAAUCCACUGCCAUCGAUUAAUCAAGAAUUCUCCAUGAUUUCUCAAGAGGAGGCACAAUGAUCAAUAUCUACAUCCUCUUUUAACCAGUCAGAAGGAUCUGCAAUGAUUAUGAGAGGUCAUGGCAGAUUCAAUCGAGGAAGAUCUAGAGGAAAUCCCAAUGAUGCAUGUACAUAUUGUCACAAGAGAGGGCAUGUAAGGGAUAGUUGCUUCCAACUCAUUAGAUUUCCUCUAAAUUUUCAAGGAGGAAGAGGACAUAACAUUCAACUCAAGCAAGUAAACCAUGUUGAAGGCAACAUUUCAAAAUAGAACCAUACUUCAUCCGAGCAACAAUUGCUAUCACCAAGUGAGUACAAGAGAAUUAUUGACAACCUGAAAAAGGAGAUCAAGACAUUAUCAAUCACUCAAUCAUCGGUAGGAGCAAUUACUUCCACACAUCAGGAAGAACCCUCAGGUAUAAAUUAUUUUACAUUAUCUUCUAAUAAUAAAAACCAAGCACAAUGGCUUUUGGAUUCUAGAGCUACUUGUCAUGUGGUUAGUCACUUGUCAUAUCUUGAUUACUUUGAAGAAUAUACUGGACCCCCUCUUAAAAUCAAAAUUCCUAACUCAAAAAAAUUGUUAGUCACACACACUGGGACUGUUAAGAUUUCAGAUGAUUUCAUUUUAAAUAAUGUUUAUUAUGCUCCUGGAAUAUGUUAUGAUCUGAUAUCCAUAUCCCGCCUUACAGAUGAACAUAAAUGUGUGGUCAUAUUUUUUUCCUAAUGUAUGUGUCUUGCAGGGGCUUUACAGUGGCAAACUGAUAAUGAUUGGUAGAAUAAGCUCAGGGUUAUACAUUGUAGAUGAAAGCUCUCAUUUUUCUAAUGCAUUUACUAAGAAUGUCGUUUUUGAUAGAAACAUUUGGCAUCUAAGACUGGGGCACCCUUCAAGCUCCACUCUCAAAAAUGUUACUUCGCUUCAAAACAAUUUACUUCCUUCCUCUGAUUUAGCUUAGUUUGUAUUUGUUUUAAUCAAAGAAAACUCAUCUUACAUUUCCCAUUAGUGAAAUAAAGUCUCAAUCCUAUUUUGAUUUGCUACAUGUUAAUGUUUGGGGACCAUACAAAAUUCCUACUCAUCAAGGAUACAAAUAUUUCCUAAUGAUAGUAGAUGAUUUCUCACGGGUUACUUGGGUUUAUUUGCUACAUAAUAAACAGGAGGCCUUAUAUCAAUUGAAAAUUUUUUUUAGUCUAGUUAGAAAUCAAUUUGAUGCUAAAAUCAAAAGGAUUCGAAGUGAUAAUGGUUCAAAAUUCCUUAAUCAUGAUUUAUCUAUAUAUUUUUUAGAAAAUGGCAUUUUACAUGAAACUACCUGUGUUUACACUCCCUAACAAAAUGGGGUUGUAGAAAGAAAACAUAGACAUAUUUUAGAGGUUUCUAAAAGUUUAAUAUUUUAGGCUAACAUUCCACUUAAAUUUUGGGGGGAAGUUAUUAGAACUCCAGUUUAUCUAAUUAACAGAUUACCUUCUAAAAUCCUGAAAUACAAGACUCCUUAUGAAAUAUUAUUUAAAAAGGAACCUAACUUGUCCAAUUUGAAAGUGUUUGGUUGUCUUACUUAUGCCAAAAAUAUAGGAAGACUAAAUAAAUUUGAACCCAUAUCAGAUACUUAUGUUUUCUUGGGUUAUCCUAAUAAUAAAAAAUGAUAUAUUUUCUAUGAUGUUAAAAAUGACAAUAUAUUUAUGAAUUGAGAUAUUAUUUUCCUUGAAAACAAGUUUCCCUUUUCAGAUGCAGAGCCUAUCAAUUAGAAUUCGAGUAUGGUAAGCUCCCAAGAUCCUUUCAUCUAUGGUUAUAAUAUUUUUCCCAAUUAUUUUGACAAUACCGAUAUACCUAAGCCAAAUGUCACUGAUCCUGUUUCUAGGAAUUCUUAUAAUGAUCCUGAAAUACCUGAUCCUGUUUCUAUAAAUUUUGAUAAUGAUAUUUCACUUCCUCCUAAUUCCUAUACCAAUUCUAAUAUUGUUGGACAUAAUGAUGAUCAUUGUAUAGUUAGAAAUACUGAUACUUUAUCUAGAAAUGAGAAUAACGAUAGACCUUUUAGAGAAAAAAGAGCCCCUAUUUGGCUUCGUGACUAUGAUUGUUCUGCAUUAGAAUUUGUAAACAAGAUCGAUAAGAAAGGAAAUAAGAAAAUUUUAUAUCCCAUACAACAUAGUAUUAGCUAUGCAAAUAUAUCAGCUUCAUAUAAGAAAUUCAUAGCCUGUACCAAUGAUAUUGUUGAACCAAACACUUUUCAAGAAGCUAUAAAGGAUAAUAGAUGGGUACAAGCUGUAAAAGAUGAGAUAAUUGCAUUAGAAAGAAACAAAACAUUGGAAAUAGUUAAUUUGCCUCUAGAGAAGAGGGCAAUAGGAUGUAAAUGGGUCUUUAAGAAGAAGUAUAAUGCAGAUGGCAGCUUAAAUAAAUUAAAAGCAUGACUUGUUGUUAAGGGAUAUAGCCAAAUAGAAGGCAUUGAUUAUUCUGACACUUUUUCACUUGUUGUUAAAAUGAAUACUGUGUGUUCUAUAUUGGCUAUAACUACUAGAAACAGUUGGGACUUAUAUCAAAUGGAUGUUGACAAUGCUUUCUUGUAGGGAGAUCUCAAUGAAAAAGUAUAUAUGAAGAUCCCUUUAGGAUUUCACAAGCAAGGAGAAAAGAAGGUCUGUAGACUAAGUCUCUUUAUGGACUAAAGCAGGCUGCAAAACAAUGGAAUACAAAGUUGUGUGAAGCUUUAAUCACUGGAGGUUUUGUGCAGAGUAAAUUUGACUAUUCUUUAUUUACUAAGAGACAUGGAAAUGAGUUUACUGUUGAGUUAGCAUAUGUAGAUGAUCUUGUAAUAACUGAAAAUAGUAAUAAAGGGAUAGAAGAAACAAAGCAAUAUCUGCAUGAUAAUUUUAAGAUGAAAGACCUAGGGCUGUUAAAGUAUUUUUUAGGAAUAGAAAUAGAGAAAAUAGGUAAAGGGUUAAUUCUAAAUCAACAUAAGUAUACUUUAGAUUUGAUUGCUGUUACAGGGCUUGGGGGUUGUAGGCCUAGCAAUAUGCAUAUGAACCCAAGUUUGAAACUUUACAGUGUUCCUAAAAAGGGAGAGAAAGAUGAUUCUUUAAUUGAUCCUUCUAGUUAUAGGCGUCUAAUAGGAAAGUUACUAUAUUUGACCACUACUAGACCUAAUAUUGGUUAUUCGAUUCAGUUAUUAAGUCAGUUCAGGAAAAUUCUAAGAAAGUCCCAUCUUAAGGCUGCAUUAAAUAUUGUAAAAUACUUGAAAAAAGACCCAGGUAGGGGUAUAUACUUUCCUUCUUCCGAAAAUAUGACAUUAGAGGGGUAUUGUGAUUCUGAUUCGGCUUCUUAUCCUGAGUCUCAUAGGUCUAUUACAGGUUAUUUAAUCAAGUUAUGAGGAGCUUUUGUUGCCUAGAAAUCUAAGAAACAAUCUACUGUCUCAUAUUCUUCGGCUGAGGUAGAGUAUGGGGCUUUAGGAAGUAUUGCUUUUGAAAUUAUUUGGUUAAAUGGUUUGCUAAGAGAGCUGGGUGUUACUGAUUUAAUUCCUGUUUUUGUAUAUUGUGACAACAAGGUUGCAAUACAGAUAGCUUCCAAUCCAGUUUAUCAUGAGAGAACAAAGCACAUAGAGAUCGAUUGUCAUUUUGUGAAAGAAAAGCUAUAGGAAGGGUUGAUUUUUUAAAGCAUGUAAUGUCUAGAGAGCAGCUGGCAGAUAUAUUAACAAAGGCUCUUGGAAAGAAAGUUAUGAUAGUUUAUUAUCCAAGUUAGGCACCCUAAAUAUUUUGGGUCUAACUUGAAGGGAAGUGUUGAAAAAUAAGGGUUUAUUGUUUUGGACCUAUUUUAUUUGUAACCAAAUGGGCCUGAUUUGUUUGUUUUUUCAAGGUUAUUUUCGUU